rnacentral:rRNA from 1 species
UACGAAGGGGGCUAGCGUUGUUCGGAAUUACUGGGCGUAAAGCGCGCGCAGGCGGUCCUUUAAGUCAGGGGUGAAAGCCCAGAGCUCAACUCUGGAACUGCCUUUGAAACCAGAGGACUUGGGUACGGGAGAGGUGAGUGGAAUUCCGAGUGUAGAGGUGAAAUUCGUAGAUAUUCGCAAGAACACCAGUGGCGAAGGCGGCUCACUGGCCCGUUACCGACGCUCAGGCGCGACAGCGUGGGGAGCGAACAGG